rnacentral:rRNA from 1 species
UACGAAGGGGGCUAGCGUUGCUCGGAAUCACUGGGCGUAAAGCGCACGUAGGCGGAUUGCUAAGUCAGGGGUGAAAUCCUGGAGCUCAACUCCAGAACUGCCUUUGAUACUGGCGAUCUCGAGUCCGGGAGAGGUGAGUGGAACUGCGAGUGUAGAGGUGAAAAUUCGUAGAUAUUCGCAAGAACACCAGUGGCGAAGGCGGCUUCCUGGACCGACACUGAC